rnacentral:lncRNA from 1 species
UGGGAUUCAUUUAUACCAUCAUCUUGCCCAUGAUUUUUAGUUUAUUAUUAGAUAAUUUUGCAUUUAUAUGUAGCAUCCCUACAACUAACCAAGGUAAAAAAAGAAAAAAAGAAAAAAAAGAAAAAAAAAAAGAGGAACAUUUAUACGUUUUAAGUUAUUCUCUUGUCUCCAAUAAUGUAUCUAUUUAGUCUAACAAUUAAUUUCACAAGGCAUUCUAACUACAAUUAAAAUGUAAUCAAUUUCAUAAUGACAUAUGUUGCUAACCAAUUAAUAUCAGUUAACAUCUUUAGUACAAAUUAAUAAUCAACUUUCUUAAACAACAACGAAAAUGAACAAAUUAAAAAAAAGGUGCAUAAUUGUUUUACGGAUUUAAUUAUAUAAACAAUAAUCAGGUUAACUCCAGUGAUCAAUUGAAUAUUCUCUCGGUCGACGUAUUUUUCAAGAUCAAAUUUCAAUGGGUAUAUUUUGAAGAAUGGGAUCGCUAAUUAUACAGGAAAAAAUCAAUGCCAUAUGCUUACACCAUACAAUUCUUCGAGGUGAUAUCGUCCCAAAAAACUCAACUUCUGCAAUUUCGCUGUGAAUAGCUAUUACCAAAGAAACGGACAGGUUGUUGAAUCCCACAGCAAGCUGCCCAUUUAUUUGGUAAUAGCUAUUCACUGCAAAACCUGCCCGUUUUAUGACUUCAGAUUCAUAAAAUAAGAAAAACUCACAGAGUUAAAAAUUCAAUGUUGCGAAGCAUAAAUCUUCAGUGCUGAGAGAGGGCGAUAGGGAUUAAGCAACGACGUCGUCGACAGCUCUAUCACGGGUCCUCCAGCGGAACUCGAUGGCAACAAACCUGACGGAGCCCGAACGCUCUUUAAUGCGUCCCUGUACUUCUUAUACAAGAUCGUCUGAUUCCUCGUCGCCAUUGAAAAGGAAAAACUAAAAAUAAAACUUGACCACGAGAUAACGACUUCAAUUCAAAAUCAAUUACGAUAUGAAUGAGAUCUGUAGUUUUGCAGAUUAGUAGAUUUCUCGUUCAGUGUCAGGUUCGGGAUCAGAAAGGCUCCAGAGAGAAGUCGGAAUCUGUCACGGUCGGACUCCACCUGCAACUUCACAACUACCGUAAAGCAAAAAUGGGAUGAUUUCCAGUAGGGUUAGCUGAAUAUGUAACCAAUUGAAAUAGAAGAAACAGAAUGGGGGAGGGAUUAGAUGAUGUAAAAAGAGAAGAGAUGAGAGGCGAAAUGAGUCGGAGAAUCAAUUCACUACCAACACAAAUUGCAGACCAUAAUAAAUUCAUCGAUCCCCUCCAAAAUGCCGAGCUACGACCAUAUAUACAACCAAACAACAACCCUCAAAGUAAAGGGCUUUGGGGCUGGCCCAUUAACAAUAAAAGUAAAUUAAUCUGGUUGAAUUUUCGGACGGAUUGGAUUUUCUCAGUCAUUUCAACAAUUCUACUUGACGGUGUGGAACUCUUUGAAGGAAAUCNUUUUAUACAAUAAUAAUUUCACAUUCAUA